GACGAACCGAGCGAACGUUGUUCGGAAUCACUGGGCUUAAAGGGCGCGUAGGCGGCCUUCUAAGUCGAACGUGAAAUCCCCGGGCUCAACCCGGGAACUGCGUCCGAGACUGGAAGGCUCGAAUCCGGGAGAGGGAUGUGGAAUUCCAGGUGUAGCGGUGAAAUGCGUAGAUAUCUGGAGGAACAUCGGUGGCGAAGGCGGCAUCCUGGACCGGUAUUGACGCUGAGGCGCGAAAGCCAGGGGAGCAAACGGG
rnacentral:rRNA from 1 species